CAUUCACGGAGAGUUUGAUCCUGGCUCAGGACGAACGCUGGCGGCGUGCUUAACACAUGCAAGUCGAACGAUGAACCACUUCGGUGGGGAU
rnacentral:rRNA from 1 species